rnacentral:rRNA from 1 species
GCAUAUCAAUAAGCGGAGGAAAAGAAACUAACAAGGAUUCCCUUAGUAACGGCGAGUGAAGAGGGAAGAGCUCAAAUUUUAAAUCUAUCAUGUUUGUACAUGAUCGAAUUGUAAUUUGAAGAAGCGUUUUCUCGUACUUUAUGCAAUCAGUAUAAGUUCUCUUGGAACAGGACAUCAUAGAGGGUGAUAAUCCCGUCUGUUACUGAUUGUGAGGUUCGUUUAUGAUACGCUUUCAAAGAGUCGAGUUGUUUGGGAUUGCAGCUCCAAAUGGGUGGUAAACAUCACCUAAGGCUAAAUAUUUGCGAGAGACCGAUAGCGAACAAGUACCGUGAGGGAAAGAUGAAAAGAACUUUGAAAAGAGAGUUAAAAAGUAUGUGAAAUUGUUGAAAGGGAAACGAUUGAAGUCAGUCGUGCAGUUAUCAAUUCAGCGGUUAACAUUUUAUGUUUCCGUGUAAUUUGGUGUCUGUUGGUUAGCAUCAAUUUUGAUUGUUAUAAAAAGGUUAAGGGGAUGUGGCUCCUUCGGGAGUGUUAUAACCCUUAGCGUAAUGUGACGAUUAGGAUUGAGGUUUGCAACGAAUACCUUUUAGGGCAGUUUCACCUGGCCUCUCGUGGAAUUAUAGAUAGUUAAGAGCAUGCUCUUACUGUUUAUGAUUCUACGAAAAGGUUGGAGUGUAAAACUAAUUCGUUAAGGAUGUUGACGUC